rnacentral:rRNA from 1 species
AACGAACGCUGGCGGCAUGCCUAACACAUGCAAGUCGAACGAGACCUUCGGGUCUAGUGGCGCACGGGUGCGUAACGCGUGGGAACCUGCCCUUAGGUUCGGAAUAACUCCCCGAAAGGGGUGCUAAUACCGGAUAAUGUCUUCGGACCAAAGAUUUAUCGCCUUUGGAUGAGCCCGCGUUGGAUUAGCUAGUUGGUAGGGUAAAAGCCUACCAAGGCGACGAUCCAUAGCUGGUCUGAGAGGAUGUUCAGCCACACUGGGACUGAGACACGGCCCAGACUCCUACGGGAGGCAGCAGUGGGGAAUAUUGGACAAUGGGCGAAAGCCUGAUCCAGCAAUGCCGCGUGAGUGAUGAAGGCCUUAGGGUUGUAAAGCUCUUUUACGCGGGAUGAUAAUGACAGUACCGGGAGAAUAAGCGCCGGCUAACUCCGUG